ACAACACCUGGUACAAGUCACAGACUCCAGCAGCCCCUGUGAAGCUGAUAUGCUGCAGGGUUAUCACGGGCUAAUGCUUUUCUUCCUUCUAUUUUUCUUUAAUCUCUGUAAGCAAAAGUCUUAGAAAUUUUUGAAAAGAAAGUUAUUAGACUAUUAGACUCUCUGUGAAACGUGGAUUAUUGCUUGACUUGUUAAUGUGCACUGCCCUCUUGUGAUGAAAUGAGUUUUCAGUGCUCUCUAGAAGUUCCCUUUCUGCUUUUCCUUUUUAUAUUUUCCUGGGGUUCCUGGUUUGGGUUCAUCUGCCUACCUCCUGCCUUUUGUUAAGGCUUUUUUCCUAAGGCAGAAAUGGUUCUUCUUACAAUUAAAAGGAUGAAAGAAAGGCAGAAAAAAGUGUGUUCAAAAUGUUCUUAUUGAAUAUUUCAUUCUUUUACACAGCUACUCUUUUAAGUUGCUUCUCAGAUUGUUUUGUUGAAUGUAUAGGAAUCAGAUAUGUAGAUAGCAAUUACGCUAGAAUAAAAUGUGAACUUUAAAGGAUGAGGAUAGUACUGAGCCAAUAAUACUUACUGGCUUGUUGAAAAGGCAAUGUUUGAGGGAAAAAUUAACUUUGGAGGAUCAGUAUGCAGCAAUGUGCUUAUCUGCAUAAUCGCCAUCAAAACAGCUCAGAGAACAAGUCCAAAUCUCCAGGCUAUUGCAACAGAAAGCUGCUUAUUAUUGUUGUGAUAAACACAGGCAGAAGUCACCUCUAAAAGCUGGGCAUAGCCAGGCAAAACCAAUCCUUUCUGGAACAUGAUGGGUGCAAAGCCAUUGCUGCCUGAGAUGGAGAGGAAGAGGAAAAAUCCAGGCAGGGUGACACACCACCCCAACAGAAGAGAUGGGGGCAUGAAGGAAAGACAGAGUGAUAUUUUACCUUAAGUGCUGUCUGGAAAAGGAUCGCUUCCUUCCAUGUUUUGGGCAAUGUGCAUCAGAUGUGUUUCACCACGGUCUUCUUGUCCUCUGAAUGGAAAUAAUGCACAGAGUACAUGAGUGAUUUCUCCCUUCUGACUGCGUUGUCUUAACCACACAGAAAGAAAUGGAUUUGUGGAUUUUAAUUCCUAGAAUCAGUUGCCUAACUGAUCACUUUCCUAAUGUGGAUGGCUCUAUAAACAUCAUCCAGUUAGGGAGGAGUUCGGUUUGCUUUGCUCUAGUAUUUCCAUUUCUUUGUGUUUUCCAUAUUUAACUGAUUAAUGUUGUGGCCACCACUGAAGGACAAAGCAUCUUCUGAACAGCCUACCAUGCUUCUGUGCUCUGGGGACAAUUUUCUGAGUGGAAAGAUCAACCGAAGUUUUACGAUGGUACAAUGAUGUAUGUACUGAUGGUACAAUGUACUGAUGGUACAAUGUUGGAUGCCAAGAAUUUCAGAAUCAAAGUUUUUGCAUUAUUUGCUUCAAUUUUUCCAUGAAAAAUAGCAUGUGAGGAGCUUGUAAUUAAAGGCUACACUAUUCCUGAUGUGCUGAAUGGAGAAUUCCAAUAAAAACAUAAAGCUG
rnacentral:lncRNA from 1 species